UACGUAGGGGGCAAGCGUUGUCCGGAUUUAUUGGGCGUAAAGAGCUCGUAGGCGGUCUGUCGCGUCUGCUGUGAAAAUCCAGGGCUCAACCCUGGACCUGCAGUGGGUACGGGCAGACUAGAGUGCGGUAGGGGAGAUCGGAAUUCCUGGUGUAGCGGUGAAAUGCGCAGAUAUCAGGAGGAACACCGGUGGCGAAGGCGGAUCUCUGGGCCGUAACUGACGCUGAGGAGCGAAAGCAUGGGGAGCGAACAGG
rnacentral:rRNA from 1 species